AUACCAGCUCUCCGAGUGGUAGGGAUGAUUAUUGGGCUUAAAGCGUCCGUAGCCGGCUUAGCAAGUUUCCUGUUAAACUCAGCGACUCAAUCGUUGGAUCGCGGGAAAUACUACUAGGCUAGGAGGCGGGAGAGGUCAACGGUACUUCUGGGGUAGGGGUGAAAUCCUAUAAUCCCGGGAGGACCACCAGUGGCGAAGGCUGUUGACUAGAACGCGCUCGACGGUGAGGGACGAAAGCUGGGGGAGCGAACCGGAUUAGAUACCCGGGUAGUCCCAGCUGUAAACGAUGCGAGCUAGGUGUUGGAAUGGCUACGGGCCAUUUCAGUGCCGCAGGGAAGCCAGUAAGCUCGCCGCCUGGGGAGUACGGCCGCAAGGCUGAA
rnacentral:rRNA from 2 species